AGUGAACGCUGGCGGUAGGCCUAACACAUGCAAGUCGAACGGCAGCCCAGUAAGAGCUUGCUCUUACGGGUGGCGAGUGUCGGACGGGUGAGGAAUACAUCGGAAUCUACUUUUUCGUGGGGGAUAACGUAGGGAAACUUACGCUAAUACCGCAUACGACCUACGGGUGAAAGCAGGGGAUCUUCGGACCUUGCGCGAUUGAAUGAGCCGAUGUCGGAUUAGCUAGUUGGCGGGGUAAAGGCCCACCAAGGCGACGAUCCGUAGCUGGUCUGAGAGGAUGAUCAGCCAAACUGGAACUGAGACACGGUCCAGACUCCUACGGGAGGCAGCAGUGGGGAAUAUUGGACAAUGGGCGCAAGCCUGAUCCAGCCAUACCGCGUGGGUGAAGAAGGACUUCGGGUUGUAAAGCCCUUUUGUUGGGAAAGAAAAGCAGCAGGUUAAUACCCCGCUGUUCUGACGGUACCCAAAGAAUAAGCACCGGCUAACUUCGUG
rnacentral:rRNA from 1 species